rnacentral:rRNA from 1 species
UACGUAGGAGACGAGCGUUGUCCGGAAUUACUGGGCGUAAAGCGCGUGUAGGCGGAUGAGCAAGUCUGCUGUGAAAGCUCCUGGCUUAACCGGGAGUGGUCGGUGGAAACUGCUCGUCUGGAGGACGGUAGAGGUAGGUAGAAUUCCCGGUGUAGUGGUGAAAUGCGUAGAGAUCGGGAGGAACACCAGUGGCGAAGGCGACUACCUGGCCCACUCUUGACGCUGAGGCGCGAAAAGCUAGGGGGAGCGAACGGG